GUGCCAGCAGCUGCGGUAAUACGAAGGGUGCAAGCGUUAAUCGGAAUUACUGGGCGUAAAGGGUGCGUAGGCGGCCUGUUAAGUCAGAUGUGAAAGCCCUGGGCUCAACCUGGGAACGGCAUUUGAUACUGGCGGGCUGGAGUGCGGUAGAGGGUGGUGGAAUUCCCGGUGUAGCGGUGAAAUGCGUAGAGAUCGGGAGGAACAUCUGUGGCGAAGGCGGCCACCUGGACCAGCACUGACGCUGAGGCACGAAAGCGUGGGAGCAACAGGAUUAGAUACCCUGGUAGUCCACGCCCUAAACGAUGCGAACU
rnacentral:rRNA from 1 species